CAUCCCCUGCGGUGUUCGACAUCGGGCAACGUGUUCCUUGAGCCUCAAAGCACAGCCCAGGGAACCUCAGCCGGCGUCAGUGUGCAGGUCCGCCUCGCAGCGGAAAGCCUAAGACUCCGGCGCUCGUUCCCACCUGAACCUCAGGGUUCAAGGGCUAGGCCCGGACGGCACAGGCGGGGGAUGC
rnacentral:other from 1 species